rnacentral:lncRNA from 1 species
AUGACCAACACCUCCAUCCACCUCUACAACGUCAACCAGAAGACGCUCCUGCAGUGGCACACAGAGAGGAGCAAGGGAAUGAGCACCACCUUCCUCCUCAGUACUGUCCCCGGACCAGGCGGACCUGCUUCUGGUACUCAGGGUGUCCCAUCACAGUCUCUGAAGGUGAACCCUGUGCUACCUCAGAGGCCGUUGCAGCACCCACAAACUGAAGACACCUCAGGGCUGGCAACCACACACCGUGGGCCUGUGGCACCGGCCCUGUAUGACCUGAUUGUCUCUGCUGCCAUGGCUUCUGAAGCAUCAGCUGCCACCAUCACUGCUUCACCAGACACAAUCACCACUACCACCCACCAUGCCAUCUCCAUCACCGCUGCUGCACCUGCUGCUGCUGCUGCUGCUGCUCCUGCUGCUGCUGCUGCUGCUGCUCCUGCUGCUGCUCCUGCUCCUGCUCCUGCUCCUGCUCCUGCUCCUGCUCCUGCUCCUGCUGCUGCUCCUGCUCCUGCUCCUGCUCCUGCUCCUGCUCCUGCUGCCGCCGCCGCCGCCGCCGCCGCCGCCGCCGCCGCUGCUGUUCCUCGCUCCACAGCCUGGCAGAGGAGGAUUAGAGAGGAGGAGCUGCGUCGUCAGCGAGAAAGGGGUCUCCCUCUUAAAGAGAGGAAGAUCUUUACACACUUCCGCUGUGGCCGCUGUGGUCAGCCCAAGACCAAACAGUAUGGCCACAGCCGUUACAGGGGAGAGUUCUUCUGUGCCACAUCGGAGGGUCGCUCUGUGGAUGACUGGUUGAAAGAGAAGAGACGACUGGACCCGAAAUACCAGCAGCCGCCCAGGUGAAGGACAAUCCACAACAAUGCACGUGACUCCUUUUAAUCUUUUUUCUAAUUGCAGGACACACCAACUUGACGUGCAGCAUAGUGUCACUUGUAUAUAGUUUGUGUAAUUUUGCUUAUAUAUAUUUUGUGUGUAUUUUUAAAAUCUAUCUAAUUUUAAUAGAGUAUUUUGUUACAAAUUUGUAAUGUACAUAGUUUAAUUUUACUGUUGACAAUGUUCUCAAGCUAAUUUAAUUGAUGUUUUUGUUACAUAAAAAAUCUUUUCAAAGGAUCAGUUCAGUGUUGACAUCUUUUCUUUGUAAUUACAUAAUGUAUAAUUUAUAAAUCUGAUGUGAACCAGGUUAAUUAUGAGGAUCGAACAUGAUCGUAUUGAUCCAUCAUGCCACAUCUAGUGAGAGAGUAGAACAUUUGAUCAGAUCUGUGUGUCCCUCACUGACAGCUGUGUGACAGCUGUCAGACACUCGCCCAAUCACCAGCUCCCGAUCACUUCACCUUGACACUCGCCCAAUCACCAGCUCCCGAUCACUUCACCUUGACACUCGCCCAAUCACCAGCUCCCGAUCACUUCACCUUUAUUCCAGGGAGACGAUCGUUCAGGGUAAAAGGCCCAUCUCCUGCCGACGGCCCCAGGUGGUCUAGGCGGCUCACAAUACACAUUGUAUGUCCUGUAGGUGUGACUCUGUGGGGGGCAGGUAGGAGCCCCAUAAAGGCUGCCUGGAUGAGGCUGUUGGUCUAGUCAAGGUCUAGUCUCAGGCUGCAACAACUUUGGGGAACUCCACAAAAAAGAAAUGGAAAACUUUGGAAGGUGAGGUCUAACUGGAUUCUUUAUCUUCUUCUUUUUGCUAUCAACUGUAUAUGUGUUCAGCCCUUCAUUAAUCAUUACAUGUUGAACUAUUAUUUACAGAACAGCACCUUUGAUAAAACACAUAGAGAGAAAAAGGAGCCAGGAGUAUACAGAAGGUUUGUAUUUUUUUACUGCACUCAAUAUUAACUUGUAUUUUUCAUUACAUUACAGCAAUGAUGUGAUUGACAUGCUUCUGUUUUUACUUAGAAACAUCAAGGGUAUCUUCUGAGGACGAAUCCCUUGCCUGGCACUCCCCAUGGAGAUCAUCAUCCUCCUCACCCGCCACAAGCACUGCCAACAUUGCUCUUCCAGAGGCUGCCACCACCGCUGCCGCCGCCAACGCCACCGCCGCUGCCGCCGCUGCCGCCGCAGCUUCACUACAAGAACAUGCUGCAACCACUGAUUCACCAAAGGGUGCUGGGGCCGCAGCCGCCGCCGCCGCCGCGGCUGCCGCCGCUGCAUCAGCUGCCUCGGCAGCCGCCACCGCUGCUGCCGCCGCUGCAUCAGCUGCCUCGGCAGCCGCCACCGCUGCUGCCGCCGCUGCAUCAGCUGCCUCGGCAGCCGCCACCGCUGCUGCCGCCGCUGCAUCAGCUGCCUCAGCUCCCUUGGCUGCCGCCACCGCCGCUGCAUCAGCUGCCUCAGCUGCCUCAGCUGCCUCAGCUCCCUCGGCUGCCGCCACCGCCGCUGCAUCAGCUCCCUCGGCUCCCUCGGCUCCCUCGGCUGCCUCGGCUGCCACCACCGCCGCUGCAUCAGCUCCCUCGGCUCCCUCGGCUGCCUCGGCUGCCACCACCGCCGCUGCCUCGGCUGCCUCGGCUCCCUCGGCUGCCUCAGCUGCUGCCGCCACCGCUGCUUCCUGUACCCGCCACAGUGGUCCAUCACGGAUGACUGUAUGGAGAAGAAAGAAGGCAAAACAGGAGGAUGCAGAAGCCUUAAAAAAGGAGGAAGGGCGCCAACAACAGCCCCAAGAGGAGCCCCAAGAGGAGCCCCAAGAAGAGCGCCAAAACCAAUGCCGACAUUGUGGACUUCCCAGGACCCUGUUGAAGGGGCAUGCCUUUUACAAAGGGCAUUUCUACUGCACACACACUGCAGGGCCUGGGGCAAAGUCUGCCAAUGAGUGGCUGAAGGAGCAGGAAGAAAAGGAAUCACCAAAAAUUCCCAGGACAACUGCCUUCACCAUGAAGAAAAAGUGGGAGAAUGAGCAUAGUUUCAAACCUCCAGAAAACAAAAGGAAGCGGAAUAAACUUAGAAUCUGCCAGCUGUGUGGCCUGCCA